rnacentral:rRNA from 1 species
GUCAGAGGUGCCGAGCGUUAGGCGGAAUCACUGGGCUUAAAGCGUGUGUAGGCGGGCCGUUAAGUACCUUGUGAAAUCCCCCGGCUCAACCGGGGAACGGCUGGGUAUACUGGCGGUCUUGGGCCACCUAGGGGCGAGCGGAACAAGCGGUGGAGCGGUGAAAUGCGUAGAUAUCGCUUGGAACGCCGACGGUGAAAACAGCUCGCUGGGGGUGUGCCGACGCUGAGACACGAAAGCCAGGGGAGCGAACGGG